AUCCACUACAGUGAUAUUUGGAUAACCAUAAUUUUCGAUAUUUGGACCACCAGUCAGUCAGUCAGUCCAUCUAUCUAUCAUCUGUCUGUCUAUUAUUUGUCUUCACCUAUCUUUAUUUGGUGUGUGUGUGUGUGUGUGUUUUAAUACCAUGUUCUAUUAUGGCAAGUUGGUGAAAUAUGCUGGCAAUUUUUAGUUUUCUGUUACAGACUGCUUCAUCACUGCAUUUUCUCAGAUUCCCUGCAUUUCCUGAUGUGAAAAAAAAUUCCCUAGAGGAAGUGGACAAGUGGGAGGAGUAUCUAAAAAGCCAAGAAUGGCAGAUCCAACUGGAAUGAUUCACAGGCUUUUAUCUUCCUGGUCACCUGUUUGGGGAACAAUGGAACGAUCCGGAGAUCAUCGUCUUCAUGAGCUUCGGAUGGGAAGUGGCAGCUUUGCAGUCAAUAGCACUUCCUCCCAGGUGGAAGAGUUCUGGAAUUGUUUUCAUGACUGCAUCCACGAGGUUGGCUGGUUCCCUGCGGAAAUGUGUGAAAUUGUGCUUCUGAUGUCUGGCCAUUUGCUACUGAAUUCUGAUGGUACAUUUGUAGGGAUCUACAGUGAGCCUCUCAAAGCAGCUUAAACCAUUCUAGAAUGCCCAACCUGAUUUAGAAGACAGUUAGAAAUCUCUCUCUGUGUAUUUUUUAAUUCCAGCAGUUGUUAAAAUCCACACAUCAAGAAGAAACUGAGGCAGGAAGAGAAGCAGACUGCCCAAACCUUGCUAAAAGCAUCUUGAAGUAAAGAAAUCCCUUAGGGAGUAUGACAGGAGGGUAACGUACAAGUAUAGAAAAUAUAUUUUGGGUUCCACAUUUGUCUGACUAUCUCUCUUGUGCAUAGAGUUAAAUGGAUUUAAGAACAAAUCUUGCUGUUGCUGAAGUACCCACUUUAUUCCUAAAAAACUCUGAGCCAAUACUCUGGUUGGAUCUAUCACCUUUGACUUUUGAAUUGCUGCCUCCAACAUGCCACACAAAGCCUCCACGCCAGCAGAAAUAAUUCCCCUCUGCCUUACAGAGGAUGUCCUCAACUUACAACCACAAUUGGAACCCAAAUUUUCAUCGCUAAGCCAGGCGGUUGUUGGAGGUUGGAGUCAUCUCCAAUUUUGUGACCCUUUUUUGCCACAGUUAAAUGGUUCACAGCAACUGAUUCAUGCAGUCAUUAAGUGAAUCCAUCUUCCCCAAUUGAUUUCACUUAUGGGAAGAUUGCCAAGGGCAAUUAUAUGACCCUAGGAAGCUGCAACUGUUGUAAAUUCAUAUUGGUUGCCAAGCACCCAAAUUUUGUUCAUGUAACCAUGGGGUAUUCUCCAAUGGUCGUAAAUGCAAGGACUGGCUAUAAGUCACUUUUUUUCAAUGUUGUUGUAUCUUCAGAUGGUUGCUAAAUAAAUGGUUGCAAGUUGAGGGCCA
rnacentral:lncRNA from 1 species